UUUUUUUAAGGAGGGGAGAUUGUAAUACCCCGUACCUUAAAAUUUUUACUAGUUAAAUUUUACCGUUAUUGACCGAAGAGUGACUUUUUCUUUAGUCCGGUAAAUUAGGAAAUUUCCUUGAGAAUGUCGUAGAAUAUGAAAAAUCGAGUUCGUGGACACGUAGUUUGUUUAAAUCGGAGUUUCUACGGAAAAGUUAUGACCAAAAAUGGAAAUUUACUAUUAUGGUUAUUAUUUCCCUAUUAUUUUAAAGGAAAGUGGGUAAAAAAGGAGAGAGAGAGAGAGUGAAAUCGGGAGAACCCGAUUCCAGCCCCCCCCCCCUCCUUCUUUCUUCUUUUUCUCUUCUUUCUUUCCUUUCCUUGCUGCGAAACCGGAACCCAUUUCCGGCGAAAUCACCGCCACCGUCCGCACCACCGGCCAUUAGAGGAUCCUCUCUUCCUCCUCUUGCAUCUAAGCUUGUUUUGAUCUAUGGAGGAAGAUUUGAAGGUGUUUGAGCGUGUGAACAGUAACGUGAACAGUAACUGUCGGGUUCUUGGUUUUUGUUUGAUUUCUCCGGCCUUUUCUGCUUGAUUUUGGUUGUUGUUGCAGGACGGAUUGAUCCCUUGAGCGAGGGGAUACGGGUAGGCAGCAGGAUUAGCUGCGAGACUCACCUUUUGCAGGCGAAUGAGUUGAGGUCGGGCGUACACGAAAUUGAGGCAUAGUCAGCAGCAUGGCUUCCGCAUCUGCCUUUGAAUUAGGUUUUCCUCAUAUACCUUUCUGUUAGAAUUGCUCUGAUUACCUAUGGGAUUUAUGUUAUUCAAGUUGAGAUAUGUGUUUUGUGAAUUGGAGAUUGAUGUUGAUUUGGGGAGCAGGGUGGCUCCAGGGGCAUAAGGAUGAUUCGAUUGAGAAGUGUAAAUGUUCCCUACAGGUUUGGGUUGCCCAUUUUAGGGGAAGUUCCGCCAAAUUUUUGGUAGAAUUUCUUCUAAGGUGGGCCCCGCAGGGUCACUUCGGAUUUCAGGGUGAAGAUAAUGGCUCAG